rnacentral:lncRNA from 1 species
AAUCUCCCUAACAGAUGCAUCGGAAAGGGAAUUACCGUCUACCCUUGCGUUUACUAUGGGGUGGUACAAAAAGAAAUCAAUCGCAUAGAGAGGUGGGGGGGGGAAUAAUCGCCGCCCGCCCCAGAAACUAACUGCAGAGACUAUUCUCUCCCCGCCUCCCGAUUAGGGUUUUUUUUUUUUAAUCAACCCGGGUUACGCGCGCAUGCACACACGCCGGCUGCGGCCAAUUCUCGCGGGACCCGGCGUUCUCGCUAUAAAAAGUCACCAGAGGGGCUCUUCCUUCCUUUCCCAUUUGAUAACUGUGCAGGUGCAAGAAGUUGGUUGUCAGCUGGUAAGCAUAGUCUUCCACUCUGCAGCUGAAUGGCCUGGAAACAAUAACUGAAUGAAUGGAUAUCCUUGCAGGCAUCCAGGUGAGUACUGUGAAGAAUGGCAAAUGAACAGAUUUCAGAUGAGCCAGUUGAAAACAGAGGGGCAGUUCAGUCGUCUAGCUGAUCUUCCGUUGAGACGUGGAAGAAGUGUUCAUCAUUGUGGCCCGAAUCCCUGGCGGAGUGCUCCCUAAUACUUUGCAACCAGCUAAAGUAUGAAUAUAUGUUUUAUUUGGACCUGUGGAAGUGAAGGCAAUGAGAACCUAUGACAGUUUAAAUAAAUUAUUCGAUCCCUAGGCUUGUGCA